CCUACGGGUGGCAGCAGUGGGGAAUAUUGCACAAUGGGGGAAACCCUGAUGCAGCGACGCCGCGUGAGUGAAGAAGUAUCUCGGUAUGUAAAGCUCUUUCAGCCGGGAAGAAAAUGACGGUACCUGACUAAGAAUCCCCGGCUAACUACGUACCAGCAGCCGCGGUAAUACGUAGGGAGCAAGCGUUAUCCGGAUUUACUGGGGGUAAGGGGGGCGUAGACGGGAAGGGAAGCAAGAAGGUAAAGGGCAGGGCUUAACCCCGGACAUGCUGUUGAAACUGUGGUGCUAGAGUGCAGGAGAGGUAAGUGGAAUUCGUGGUGUAGCGGUGAAAUGCGUAGAUAUUAAGAGGAACACCGAUGGCGAAGGCGGCUUACUGGACUGUAACUGACGUUGAGGCUCGAAAGCGUGGGGAGCAAACAGGAUUAGAUACCCGAGUAGUC
rnacentral:rRNA from 1 species